UUCAGGAUUGCAGUGGAUCGAGGGACGAAUGGAUGACUGAAUAUUCAUAUGAAGAGGAAAGCCAUAAAAGAGAUCAGCACCCUUGAAAACAGAAUGUUAAUGCUGGAUGGGAUGCCGGCAGUCAGAGUCAAAACAGAGCUGCUGGAAUCUGAGCAAGGGGAUCCUUGAAGAAUCUGUGCUUUGGUAAAGUGUGGUUUGAUGCUGGAAGACCUAUUUGGUGUCUUAGAAACUGG